UACGAAGGGGGCUAGCGUUGUUCGGGUUUACUGGGCGUAAAGCGCACGUAGGCGGAUCUUUAAGUCAGAGGUGAAAUCCCAAGGCUCAACCUUGGAACUGCCUUUGAUACUGGGGAUCUUGAGUCCGGGAGAGGUGAGUGGAACUGCGAGUGUAGAGGUGAAAUUCGUAGAUAUUCGCAAGAACACCAGUGGCGAAGGCGGCUCACUGGCCCGGUACUGACGCUGAGGUGGGAAAGCGUGGGGAGCAAACAGG
rnacentral:rRNA from 1 species